UGUUCUGUGGCUAAGUUGGUUAAAGCGCCAGUUUAGCGAUACGGAGUCGUGGGUUCGAAUCCCACCAAAACAA
rfam:Aedes albopictus isolate Foshan contig61661, whole genome shotgun sequence.